UAAAAUAAUAGAAUAAUAUAUAAACUUAAGUAAGCACACCCCACCCAUUUACCUGUUCUUUUCUCUCUCUCGAACCUUCCAGCCAUUUCUUUAGCUUCCAAUUCUACUUCAUCUUUCAUCACACGUUUUCUUUGUUUUUCCCAUUCAAAUCAACAAAUUCUUUUAUUGAAUCAUGCAAGCAUGAGUAAAAUGGUACAACUUGGCAAACCAACCUCAUAAAGUGCUAUUGGGUAUAUUUUUGAGAUAGGAUUUGUGUUUUAUGGAAGGAGAUGAGUACCCACCCAUUGGUAGUUGCUUAUUGAGAUUCUUAGAGGUAAAUACACAAUUCCUAGCUCAAUUAAGCAUUUUUAGUCAUUACGUAAGUUUGUUUAGAAAUUGGAGUAUAGAUUAAGGGAUCUUAUGGUUAUCGGUGGUUAGAGAAGUAGUGUAGUGAGUUUCUAAAUCUUAAGAAAAUAUCAUUGAUGUUCAUAUAUGAUAUUGGAUGCUUCACAUGCUUCUCUAGGAGUGGUUGGAGAUCAAACAUAGUUGAUUCGUCAUAACUAUUUUCAAGCAGCUAAGUAGGAAGCUGCUAGUAGACUCAAAGUUCAGCCGUGUCACUCUUUUUGGUAGGCUUCUUUGAUGGAUGUCUCUUUUGUUUAUGUAUAUGUUGAAUCAGAGUAUCUGCAGCUAUUUGGAGUCUAGGAAUGUUUUAUUUGAGAUAUACAAAUAUGUAAAUAUUGUUUAAA